UUACUAUCUGCGAUAUGGAAGAUUCGAACCUGCCGCAGGUUCGGGUCGAACGCAGUGAGACAACGGAGCCGUUUACGGCGACGGCCCGAAGGGCGAGCGAAGCGAGUCAUCCUGCACGACCCACCA
rnacentral:sRNA from 5 species